CCCCUCCCUUAAUAAUUAAAUAUGAACAACACUUUAAUCUAUUUUAACAUAAAUAAAUAUUUUUAAUAUAUAUUAAUUUUGAAUCACCAUUUAAAAAAUAUAAAUUCGUUUCUUUAUAAUCUAAAUGUCAAUGACAAUUAAAUUUAAAUAUUUUGUAAUUAAUUUUAUAAUUUAGAGUACAAAAUUCGCUUUUAAAUAACCAUACUUAAUCGACUUUAGUAAUUUUUCACAUAUUUUAAUUUUAUUUUGGGUUGUUUCAUAUUUUAUAAUAGGGUUUAAAACUAUAUAUUAAUGAAAUUGUGAAUAAAAAAUAGAGAAAGAUAUGUAUUCAAAAUUUGAUUAUAUUAAAAUGAAUCCGCAAUGCUAUUUUUCUUUAAAGUGUGCUAGAUUAUUAGA
rnacentral:lncRNA from 1 species